CUCAUUCGUCAAAAAUGACACCACAAAGUAAUGUUUAGUUUUUACAGAAAUUUUACACAACGUUUACACACUUUACAUGUUCUCAUCUGACUUGACUGCCUUUGCAAAAUGUCCAUCGCUGGAGAGUUUAAAAAGACAGAAGCGCGUAUCUGACGAGAUCCGGCACAUUAAAUGUCCAAUUAUAAAACUGGUGAAGAGGCAAAUUGAAAGUGCGGAACAGAACAUAACCAACAGUUUGGGUAUAUGCGAAAGAAAAGGGUCUUGGAAGAACAAGUUGUGGCGCUAUAGAUGGACAAUGCUAAAGUGGCUGGUCACUUUGUUGGUGAUGAUCAGCUUAUUUGUGUAUGGAGCGCUGUUAGGGGCGGGACUUUGCUCUUGUAGCGUAUCGCAGCAUAGCUUACCAUGUGCAGGAACUUUCUCAUUGAUACCAGGACUCAACUUUGCCAAACGACAUAGCUUUAUUUAUUAGCUCUAAGCUGGACAAUAUACACUAUUUUCACCGUUUC
rnacentral:lncRNA from 1 species